rnacentral:rRNA from 1 species
UACGUAGGGCGCAAGCGUUAUCCGGAAUUAUUGGGCGUAAAGAGCUCGUAGGCGGUUUGUCGCGUCUGCCGUGAAAGUCCGGGGCUCAACUCCGGAUCUGCGGUGGGUACGGGCAGACUAGAGUGAUGUAGGGGAGAACGGAAUUCCUGGUGUAGCGGUGAAAUGCGCAGAUAUCAGGAGGAACACCGGUGGCGAAGGCGGUUCUCUGGGCAUGAUCUGACGCUGAGACACGAAAGCGUGGGUAGCAAACAGG